AUCAGUUAAGGCAAGCAGCCAGAAUAGGGGUUGAGGUGCGUAUUAAGAAGGAAUGUGCAAAGCUAGGGACAAAAGUGGAAUUGCGCGUACGUCAAGCAGAGACAAACAGAAUGAGAAUCUUGAAGUGGAAUUGCGCCAAUGGAAACCGCCCUGCUCGACUGGGCCAUCAACCUGAUGGCUGAUGUCGUCCAAUACGAGCAUCUCAACAAGAUGAAUUCGCACAAUAUCGGAAUGGUUUUCGCCCCAAGUAUGAUCUAGGUUCGUUAUUUUAAUCUUGAAGGUUUGGCCAUUUUUUGCGACUUUCAUCCAAAGGUACUGCAAUGUAGUCCAGAAGAUGCUAAUCUCUUGUAGUGCAACUGGAAUGUAGUCCAGAUGAUGCUAAUGAAAAAUUUAAGAGCUUUAAAAGUUAUGUUGAAACGUUAAAAGGGAAGGGAUUUUUGGCAAGCUCUUCUUUGUGCGCGUAAGAGGCGGUUCUACUAGAUUUCAACACUCCAACAACGAGGGGAUUUAUGGCGGAUCAGGUGUUGGAGGGUAGCAGCGGAUCUGGUAUAAGGAACUAUGUAAAAGCAGGUUAGGCUCCUCGAUUAUAUUGGCAGGAGGUACGUCAUAUAUGGGUUUACGUAUGAUAAAUGAGAAUGGGAAUAGGUUUUAAAAGCUGCCACCCACCUAAGUGUCGUUAUUUUAACUUGAUUUCUUUGUAUUUCAUUUUUUCUUAAU
rnacentral:lncRNA from 1 species